AGGUUGUGCUGUGGGCACUUCCUCAAAAGCUUUUUGAAGCGCUCCCAAGCUUCAUAAAGAUUUUCAUCGGCUACUUGGGCAAACGUCAUUAUAUCAUUCUUCAAUUU